UUUCCGUAGGUGAACCUGCGGAAGGAUCAUUGCACACACGAUGCAGCAAACUAGCGAACUGUGUUUGUCCCCCACCUACCCCAAACACGAGGGGCCGCAUCUGGAGGUGCGGCUGUCGACGGCAAGGUCCCGACCUUCGGGUCCCCGCAGUGGUUCCCGCAAGCGGGCUGAUCAUGUCGCCGUCUGGGUGUCCCGCGCGGGCUCUCGCCUUGCCUUAGGGUUGGGCGACGCGGGCAUUCUCCUCCCUUCGAUGGCGUCGUCCCCUCCUCCGGGAGAGCGACACGCCUCGAGGGCCGUUUACAACUUUGCACCAUGUACAACACCAGUGACUGGGUAUACCUGUGUCCCGGUUCCGCUGCUGCCCUCGGGUGGUGCGGGAUUUGUCAAUAGGAACAAGAGUAAAUAAAAACAACUCUCAGCAACGGAUAUCUUGGCUCUU
rnacentral:misc_RNA from 1 species